GUGCGCAGCAUUCUGGGUAGAGUCUUGAGAAACGUGUUGGGUCCGCUGCCUGUUACCAGGGCAACCGGAGGCGACGGACGGCUACCCGCGGAGUGGGGUAGUAAGCCGAUAGGCUGAGAUGCCCGAGUGUUUGGAGGCGCGGAAGGGCAAGCGGCCCUUUUAAGAGGCGGUCGUGCUGAUCGGAGGUCGUCCAGGCCUGGCCCGCGGGAGCGCCGGCCUGGGACCCCGGCGGGCCACGCCCUCUCGUUCUGAGCCUCGCGGGGAAAGGAGGUGUGGCCCCCAGCUCCUCCCUGUCACUUCUCGUUUUCUGCCUCCUUUUAGAAAAUAAUCCCAGAUAGGAAAAGCGGAUCUGUCACCGAGCAAAGACUGCCACGGGCACAGCUCCUUUUUAAAGGAGCCUGGCAACUCACCAAUGUCUUCCUCGCCCACCUCCUCAAAGCCCGCUCGCCUGGUGGACUAUCAGAAAGGGCCUCUAAUAUGAUUGCCACCAGCCACGUGUGGCUGCUAAGCACUUGAAAUGUGGCUGGUCUGAACUGAGACGUGCAGUAAUGUAAUCUACACACUGGAUCUCAAAGACUUAAUGUG